CACCGCGGUUAUACGAGAGGCCCCAGUCGACAGACACGGCGUAAAGGGUGGUUAAGGAGAGCAGAAUUUUAAAGCCAAAGGGCCUCUUGGCCGUCAUACGCUUCUGAGUGUCCGAAGCCCAAAAACGAAAGUAGCUUUAAUACAACCCGCCUGACCCCACGAGAGCUGAGGCA
rnacentral:rRNA from 1 species